rnacentral:rRNA from 1 species
CACGUAGUUGGCCGGUCCUUCUUCUGCACCUACCGUCACCGCCUUUAAUGGCGCUUCGUCGGUGCUGAAAGAGGUUUACAACCCGAAGGCCGUCAUCCCUCACGCGGCGUUGCUGGAUCAGGCUUUCGCCCAUUGUCCAAUAUUCCCCACUGCUGCCUCCCGUAGGAGUCUGGGCCGUGUCUCAGUCCCAGUGUGGCCGGUCACCCUCUCAGGCCGGCUACCCGUCGAAGCCUUGGUGAGCCCGUUACCUCACCAACAAGCUGAUAGGCCGCGAGCACAUCCUCCACCGAAAAAACUUUCCAACCAAGAUCUCAUGCAAAACUUGGUCGUAUUCGGUAUUAGCCAUCGUUCCGAUGGUUAUCCCGAAGUGAAGGGCAGAUUACUCACGUGUUACUCACCCGUUCGCCGCUCGUGUACUCCCGAAGGACGCCUUACCGCUCGACUUGCAUGUGUUAAGCACGCCGCAGCGUUCGUCUGACGCCAGAGUCAACUCU